AUGCAUGAUAUGAUAAUGGAGAAAAUGGUAUGAUUGUGUGGAUUACAUCAUUGGAAAGAAUUAUUUUCUACAAUGGGCGAUGCUGUCCUGUGAUUUAUCACUGGCCAGGAAGGAUUUACUUCUGUUGCGCAUCCCCUUACAAUGUAAACCAUUUUAUAAACCUCCUUUCCUACUGGGGCAUAUUACUGGGUUAAGGAGGACCCUAAAAUGUGCAGUUUCAUUUCAUGAAUGGAUAUUUAUGUGGCUGGAGUAUUUGGAAGUAAAGUAAAAGUUGAAUGGUUUCUUUUCCUCCCUGUCUUGUAUCGAGUUGAGAGUGAUAGUGUUGCGUUAUAUUGCCGAAACAUUACUUUUGUGGAGAGAAAUAAACUGAAAACCGAUACUACUUGAAUGCCACUGGUCAGCCUUGCUGUACAAUCAGCUGUUCCAACGUUUAACCCGGGAAUGCAAGGUUUAGCCAACAUCUUCUAACCCCAUCGCCAGAAUAACGCGUCAAAGGGGUUUUUCAUGGGGGGGAGAAUUGCUUUCUGAGAAAAAUAUCUCUGAUUUAGUCUACAUUGAAAAACUUAAUUUAAAGUCUAUCGUGCAUUUAUGGUAGACCCCCUCCAGUGCCCUGAGUGCCAGCACUUGUGUCUCAUAAAAUCAAGGAAGAGUGCCAUUCUUUGAGGUCUUUAACAGUUAAUAGUAGAUUAUUAUCAGGAGUUAAUCGUACGCACACAUUUUCAGUAAAAAUGGGCCCCAAAUGUUUAGAUAUGGCCAUUGGCCCACAAUUGCGUAAGGCUUGCACUUUCGGCUAGCCAAAUUCUAACAACCUUGCUUGCUAGCAAAACAGAGACCACAUGCUUUUGGCAGAGCAGCAGUCAUCUUCAGUCUAAUGCAUUUAUAAUGUCACUCUAUAAACAACAAACUUAUCAUGCUCAGAAAAACAACGCUGUUUUAAAAAUAAUGUUUAUUUUAAUUAUGAAUGAUCUCGGGAUCUGUACACAGUGACAUUACCUUGACUUCGCAAGGUGAUGUAAGUUGCAAGUGACUGGUAAAGGGCUGCGCAUCGGAGCCAAGUUCUGCCGAUAGCAAUAGUUUGUAAAACAUCCUAUCAGUGCUGAUUAAUUGGCCAAAGGAUUAAUUGGUUGACCCCUAUUCUAUAUUCAAUGUGCAAUUAAUAUGUAGCGGGAUGUUAGAGCAUCCAGCUUGCAAUGUCAGUGUUGUUCUUUUACCACAAGUACACAAUGUUUACACUCAAGAUGCUGGAUUUGUCUCCUAUAUGACUAAAAUGUGACAAUGAUUAACUGCUCUUUAUUCUAUUGCCCUAUAGGUAGCAAAACCUGGAGUAGAUUUAGAUCACACUGAGCCAGGACCUGAGCUUCAAGAGAGAUUUAAAACUUGGACUGGGGCAGGGUAUAAGGAGUGUUUCAGGGAUGUUUCUUGAGACUGUACUUAACUGUGUGUAGGAGCCCCUUCAUAACGGGACAGGAAUCCACCCUUCAUAACGGGACAGGAAUCCACCCUUCAUAACGGGACAGGAAUCCACCCUUCAUAACGGGACAGGAAUCCACCCUUCAUAACGGGACAGGAAUCCACCCUUCAUAACGGGACAGGAAUCCACCCUUCAUAACGGGACAGGAAUCCACCCUUCAUAACGGGACAGGAAUCCACCCUUCAUAACGGGACAGGAAUCCACCCUUCAUAACGGGACAGGAAUCCACUGUUGUUCUGAGCGCAGAUCCGAUGGUUCAAAGCCAGCCACUGAAACAACAGCCAAACUUUGCAUUGACAAUACACCACGCCAAUUCUCUGAAAUAGUCAGUUGAACAAGCAUUUGAUUUCUAUGCACACACUUGUGCACAUGUAUCACUUUAAAUUGUCUAAUGGAUGUCAUUGGAAAGACAUGUUG